UCCUGGCUUUCCGGAGCGUCAACCGCUUCUUAAUUGCAACUCAGCGGUCUCUUUUUGCAUCUUACUCCUGGAAAUGGGGUCAUAAGCGUGCUCAAGGAAUUCCAGAUUCAGUGUCCACGGAGACAACCCAUGACCUCAGAGUAGGAGGGGUGAUUAGGUCAGGCUGAAACAGGAGAAAGGACCUGAUGUUGUCGCAGUGGAGGAAUCUGGGGUGAAGUACUUGGCUUUAAAGGUCAAGGCUUUCUCACAGUUUAUCUCUCAAUCUAUCCAUUUUCAACCAACAAAAGAAAAAUAUGCAAACAAGAGAUACAACUAUUUAAUGCAUGGAAAAACUGGAGUUAUAUAGUAGCAAUAUUCUACAAGGAGUUGUUAGGGUUUGGACGAGGGAUGUCCCCCAAAAGCUCCUGUGUUAAUGCAGUAAUAUUCGGAGGCGAAAUGAUUACAUUGUGAGAGCUGUAACCUAAUCUCAGUCCAUCCUAGUUUGAUUCGACAAGUAGUAAUUGUAGGAGAGCUUCCAAAAUUGAACAAUGAGAAGCAUAGUACAAAGAACUCCUUUCUUCUUAAUCACUGCUGAAUCUGAGCACCCAGAAUAUUUCCAUGUCGAAUGAGCAUGAAACUGACAUUUGUUGACUCUAUGAGAAAAUGAGGACAAGGUGCUAUAAGAACAUAGGAGUAUGAAUCUGACUAGAUUCACUGAAGAAGUGGCAAUUUACUUGGAGGACUUCAAAGGACAAAGAGUUCCCCAGAACAUAUUGGAACAGCAUUCUUGGCAGAGGGAACAGUUUGAGAAAAGGUAGCUUUAUUGUGCUCUGGAUUGGAUUUUUCAGAAGACAGAAGUUAACUAUUCAUUGACAGUAUGUUCCCUCAGCUCAGGAGGAACAUGGAAAGGACAUAAGAGUGAACACAAGAAUGCUGGCCUCCAUCAACUUAUCCUUUAUUGAUGCUUCUGGCACUCAGGCCCGAGAGAAAAAGGGCCCAAGGCUGAGGCACAGGGGUGGAGUGGGACUGGCCGUGGCAGGAGCCUUGCUGCUUCUCGUAGACCAGUUCUGCAGGUAUCCACCCUAUAGCAUGUAAUUCUAGUAACUGGAGGAACAUCCUAACCAUCUUGAGAUCAUGAAUGAUGCCGGUUCCCCUAUGUUUCCGUAAAAAGACACAAAUCAUGUUAGGUUAAAGAAAGAUCUCUUCCUUGGCUCAAGACUGACAGACCUGACCUUGUCCUCCCAAAUCUGGAGUCCAGUCCCUUGGACACUUAAGAUGACAAAAAGAAUCAUAACAUGACCUGACAUCUAAGAGUAGUCAUCUGGUCAACCUCACUGACUUUACAAAAAGUAGAAACUUGAGGCUCAGAAAGUAGUAGUAAUCAGGCAUAGGUACCAAGGUAGGUCUGUACAGUCCUGGCUGCCACCAAGGCAUCAUCUGAUUGGCACUUUGUUGUCUCUCUUCCUAUCUGUGUGACAGUCUCCUUAACUAUCUACAACACUCUGAAUCUGGAGACAACUUUGUGAAGUUGGACAAGUUACUCUCAGUUUCCACUAUGACACAUUGUCAAGUCCGGUGCAUGUAGAACAUGCGGCACAUAGUAGCUGCUUCAUCUGUCAACCAAGUCCCUUCUGAUUCCAACUGUGCAUUCCUCUUCCCAUGUCUACAGCACUCAUUCAUUCAUUCCAAACUCACUCUCUGUUCCAGUCUGAGUGAUUUCAGAUAAGCCAGACUUUUUUCCUGUCUCAGGAACACUCAAUCCAAUGAGGAGUCAGGCACAGACAAAGGCACUGUAGGAAGAAGACCAGGAGCUGGAGGAACCCAGAGCGGGAAGCCAGGGCUUUGUUCUGAGGUAAAGGCAGAGUUGAAGACUUCCCAGGACUAGGGCAGUGUAGAGCUGGGAGUGUAAGAGUGGUUUCUCUUGGACAAUGUAUAUGCUCUGUGUCUUCUGGUCAAACUGUACAGUCCUGCCUCUCUCCUUGAUCUACUUCUAUCUUAUUCCCAUUGUCCUGGUGAUACCAGCCAGUCUAACAUGUGCAGUGUGUUUUUCUACAAUAAGAAAUAAAUGUAGUAGGGCUCCCUUUAUCCAAGAGGAUAUGUUCCCCAGUGGAUGCCCAAAACAAUGGGUAGUACUUAACCCUACAUAGUAUAUUUUUUCUUAUGUGUACAAACCUGUGAUAAAGUUUCAUUUACAAAUUAGGCACAGUAAGAGAUUAAAAACACUUAAUAAUAAAA